UGCUCCCCCCCAAAAAAAAAAAGGAGAGGAAAAAGUUUUGCUGAAAUGCAUUAAGUAUGUAUGCACUCAUACAUAGAAUUUCACUACAGGAUGAUCCUUCAGCAACUUAAUUUAUAUUUUUUGGAGAGCUGUAUAUGACCAAAGGUUAUGAACCUCUCUUGCAGUGAGACUUUACAGUCUCUUCAAUAGAGCUUGUGCUGAACUAGACUGGAGAUGAGGGAGGAUGAUAACUUACUGUUUUGCACUCUAACUGGGGAUUGACAGGCAGGUUUUCAACAUCAGCCAAAAAGCAAUCAGCAAUUAUAAAUUGUAUAGUGUGACAAAGACCAUGCUGUGCACAUAUGGACUGCUCUGGCUGCACACUAUCUCCUCGCCAAGAGUUAAUGAGAUAAUUUUUUUCCUUGGAGGCUAUGCAACUGCUAAAGCCAAGAGCAAAGACAGCCUCUGCACAGGCAGUACCUCCCACAGAGCAGGCCCCUGAAACAAAACAUUAUCUAGCUGUAGACUGCAGCUCAGCAACUACAGCCAAGACAGGCUCCUCCUCUCUCUGACAGUAACUGCUCACAAGUGGGACGUGUUAUGUGAAUGAGAGCAGUUCCAGGGCUUGUGUGAAUACUACUGAGGCUGCUUACAUCCCUUCAACACAUCACUGACACAAAGGCAAAGAAGUUUGAGGACUCAGCAACAGAAAAAUUGCCAUUUGCCAAAAGAGUAAAGUUCCUUUCUGUAAGGCAGCAUCAUGGUGAACAGCCAGUCAUCACCAGAAUGCAAUAUUUAUUCAGCUCAGGUUCUUAGGAAGACAGCAAAGGUGGGAGAAAUCAAGUCCUCCUAUGGAAGGUAAACACAAAGAAGGGAUGGCAGAUCUAAAAAUUUGGAUAAAUUUAACCAAGCAGAAAGUAGCCAGUAUGUGAUCUGCAACCACUGAGGACUUGUGAGGCAGACUAAGAGGUCAAGGCAGAGUAAGAGGCCCUACUGGAUCCACUGGAGAAAUUCUGGCUUUCAUGUUUGUUUGAGGUACUUGCCUAAGAUAAAAGGUAAAUUUGAUAAUCUCUUCAUGUUAGUUUGGAAGAAUUCAAAGCAUCAAAUGGAAAAAAAAACAAAAAAAACAACCCACAACAAAACCAAAAAACCCCAAACCAAUAACCAAACACCACAAUAAAGUAAUAAAAAAAAAACUAGUAGAAAAGUUAAAUCAUAUGCAGAUGCCAGUUUGCAUGAGAAAAGUAAAUGCCAUGCUUUUAUAAAGGCUUUCUGAUGCAGAAGUAGUGUACCGUGCAUAGUCAAAACACUAAGAGUCCAACUACCUCUCACUUCAAUCACAGUUCAUAAACAUGCUGUAUGUAUCUUCUUCUUUUCAGGAAUAGUGCUUGGCUAUGCCUAUCAUGUACUACAGAAAGAGAAUAUAUUCAGUGAAAUAACUCCAACUGCACAUCUCUAGUUCAAAUGUAGAUCUCUAUCAUUUCACAGUAUUCUCCAACUGUGGAGAUUCGAUAGAGCUCUAUGUUGGACUCCAUUCAAUUCUGCACAUUUUCUGAUGACAGAAAUAAUAAAUGACAACCAAUGUUUGGAACUAACAGAAAGCAGUCAUGCUGUUGGCUCAGUACAACGUCCCCAUGUAUCAGCAGAGAGAUUCCGCUUCUGAGAGUAAGCCAUAAACUCUCCACGUUAUUCAAUGCUGUAGACAUAAUGUAAUUACCAUUCCACCUAACCUGAAAAAAAGCAAACAACUGCUUUGUAUUUCAGAUUUGAGCACUAUGGUUUAUGUCCCACCAUAUUUUAGAACAGUUUUAGUAACCAAGGUAUGGACAGAAAUAACUUUCAUUUACUGCAUAUGACAAUAUUUCUUUAUAACUUUAUAGUGUGGAAUAUGUCAAUGAGUCUCACAGACUUUUAGAAAUUGGCACUGCAGAUUCUGUGGUUGUUGGUGAAUGGUAAGUAGAAAGCACAAGAGCACAAAACAAUUAUUUUCCCCCUACAUUGCCUUAAAGUACUGUCUGUUGUUGUCUACUAUGCAAAUACAGCUCAAAAUACUGGAAAAACAGCUCAAAAUAUUGUGUCUGAACAUUCAAACAGGGAAUGUCCAGCAAGCGCAGGUUGCACUAUGAUUGAUACCUCACUACUGUGGGAAUUAGCUGCACGUCAGAGGCCCAGAAGACUACACACUGCCAUAAGCUGAGAGCUGCUAUUAAACUCCAAAUAUCAGCAUCCAAGAACUUUGCAAAUACACCUGCCACUGCAAAAAAGAAGAGUCAAGGUUUUACUCAUAAGUUAAUUCAAACUGACCUAUUAAAGACUUUCUCACUUAAUCUUCCACAUUCCUAUACUGAGUCACUCAAAAAUAGAAAUAGUAAUUUUUGGCAAAGUUCAGAUUUAUAAAUCAUCUAAAUAACAUCAUAAUCUUCACUUUAACUAAAGUUUUGACUUUUUACAGUUUUGUUCAAGUACGUUUUUGUGUCUUCUCUCCCAGACAGGAGUUCACUGGCCACAGAUGAGAACAGGAGCUUGUUCUCCAUGUUCCUGAAACAUUCCAGCACCACCUGGCAUCUCUCCCUGCCAAAAUACCCUGUUGAAGUUGAAAAUACCAAAGCUAAUACUUUCAGAAGAUAUAAAACUGUCACUUUUUGGUUUGUACACUGACACAGAGGCAUGAGAGGAAGGACUAUCUGGAACAGCUACAACAGAAUUCUCUUCCAACAUAAUCCAUGUUUAUGUAGAAACUUGGAGCCAAGAAAUUAAGAGAGAUAAGGGAAAAAAGCUCAUUGUGCCCUUCAGAGUUAAUAUCACAGGCUGUUUCCGAAGCAGAACUGUCAUCUUGGACUUCACAUAUGAGCUCUGUUUCCCUCAAAAAUGAUAUCUUGAAGUGUAAAUUAACAAUCAUCCGAAUAUGUAGAUUUAUUUCAGUAAAAAACCUGAUAUGCAGAGGUACUCUUAAGACAAAAGAUAACACGAUGAGGAAACAAGCAUGUUACAGUAUCUCUGGUAACCUAUAAGCUAUCUGCAUUUUAAGUAGAGAUUUACUGAAACAUAAAAGUAGUUCACAAUUUGAUUUUCAUUACACUGAUUGAUUAAAAGAGAAAAAAGAACCUCAGU